AACCGAAAUAUCAGAAGGGAAAAAUGAUCCUUAAAAAGGAUUUUCUCUUUGUCUCUUCUCUUGUCCCUUCCCUACCCAAUGCUUCUCCACUGAACAAAGCCAUGUCCUAGAGACUGACAAGAGGUCUGCCCCUGGGUGGGCACAGGGCAUGUGACAAUGAGCUGGGGGAGAGCCAAGGGUGGGUACCUGGAAACCACUCUCUCCUGCACCUGUCAGGCAGAUGUAUAGGACCUGGGCUCUCUGGACACUUUCGUUCGCCAGGCUCUGUGAUUCUGUGAGUGGUAGACGCAUGUCCACGCAGAUUCUGCUCACCUGGCAGAUACUCUUCCUUCCCCUCUCACCUCAACUUUCCACUAGUUGUUGAAAGCUGAAGAUUGUUCUAAGGAUGAAAAGAAUUCAUACACGGAAAGCAGGUUGAACCGUGCCUGGGACGCGGCAAGUCCUGCUUAUACAAUGUUUGUGUUCUGAAUGGAGUGAAAACUCUUGGUAACUAGUCCUGGAACAGUACAUGAUUGGUUGCAUUUAAUUUCUCAGUGACUCAUGGUCAUGCUCGUGAAGGGGCAUUUCCUGGGUGAACCUGGGAAGGUAGGAAAGAUCUAGUACCAUCCCAUACCCCUCUCAUCCUCUGCUCAGGCUUUCCUCUCCAUCUCCAACUGUGACAGGCUUCUGUCUGCUCCCAGUGCCUCCAAGACAGCUCCCCACUGGACUGGCACCCACCUGGGCCCCGGGAUCCAAAAUGCUUUCUCAUUCCAAGUCAGCAGCACCCACACGUCCUGCACAGCUAACAUCAGCCAGUUCCUGUCAUCAACGUGAACAAACUCAUACUCGAGAAAUAGUCAAGACUGCCUCGUAUGUGUCUGCAUUGUCAGGCACUGGGAUAUGGUGAUACUCAAGACAGAGAAAGUGAACCUUCCUGGAACUGGCAUCCUGUAGAUAAGCACCCAGGCCUCUCUGAUUCAACCUGACAGAAGCUCUCACUCGGAGGGUUGGAGACAUGGGUCAACUGAGUGCAUUCAACAAACCAAGAAGCAGGGCAAGGAGCUCAGUAACAUCUUACCUAGUGCUUUCGUGGUCCACAAAAUGCUAUAGAAAACCUUGGCCAUUCUGCCCACGUGUCCAGCCACAUCCCAGCGCUGCUCCCCCUCACGAUGGGUCACCUGAUCUCUCUGAAAUCCACAGUCAUUCUGAAUUGCACUUUGACACUGGGAGGUGUGCCUUUGCACAAAAAUGCCUCUCAAGCUGAUCUUGUAGCCCUUCUUCUGCCUCCUCCUAAGCCCAGGACCGAUGGACCACACCCUCUUCCUGCCUUUGUUCAUCCCACCUGCCCUUCCUUACGUGUCUGUCUUUUCCGUCACCAGCCUCAGGUUCUCUGUGGAACAUACAGACUCUCUAUGAGUUGUCUUACCAUCUUGUGGAAAGCCUCUCCUAGAAAUCAAAGAAGGCUCCUGUUGGAACAAUGGCCGAACUUCUGCACUUUCUCCACCUUGAAAAUGAGGUGGGAAACUCAGGGAGUGGGCAACGUCUUCCUUCCUGCGGACCUCAGGGGUCCUCACUCAGACAGACAAGCCAUCUGCGGUGACUGCUGGAUGGGCUUUGCCCAGCCCAGGUCAGCAAGAGCGGCUGCCGGUGCACCUGCUCAUCUCUCCUCACAGCAUCGCUUCAUCUGAUUUUCCUGAGCCGCAUCCCACCCCUUCCGCUGCGUGUGAUAUGUAACCAGGUACUGACUCUCCCUGCUAGGUGUCAAGUUGAGAUGCGACCCUAUCCCUCUGGAGAUUGAGCUUUGGAUGGAAAACUUGGAAAGAUCAAAAUACUGAAGAUUCAAACAAGACUCCAAAAAAAUACGUGUUUGACGGCCAGAGCUGGACUGACAAUGGGAGGACAUACCUGGUGAAGUUACCCCACCAGGCAUCUUGCACCUCCUGGGUAAAAGCGUUGGCCAACCCGUCCAUUGGAAAGCUGACCUUGAUUUCCUCUGGCUCUGGGCCUCCUGAUUUGCUGAAGAAUGAAUGGCACCAUUACCGAAUGACAGAGGCUGCCUGCCUGCAGCGUGAGGGUGGGAGGGGCCAUGUCUGGGGCUUUUAGAUCCAGGCUUGG